AUGUGUUGCUAUCGUACUAAACCGAACAACAUAUGUAUCUUUAUCGAUACCAAUAUUUAUUUGAACCAUAUUGAAACUGACCGAAUAACAUCGGUGCCAGUACCGGUGCUCGUUUUUAUCGUUUUUUAUUAAUGGAAAACACGUAUUGAUUUCACUACCGAGUGAUAUAUCGUAUCGAUACUGUAAUAAACGAACCGAUACCAAUCAAAUACCUACAGUAACGUACCGCCGCAACGCACGAUCAAAUACACUAGUUAAGUAUUAAAACCAGAUAAUUUGUACAUAUAAAUUGAAAUCAUAUAAAGCUUAGUUACAUACGUGCGAUUAUACGAAAGAAAUCGUGUAAAAUUUGCUAAAACCUUUUUUUCUUAAGUUUAAAUUUAAAUCUUUGUUUUCUGUUAUUAUUAUUAUUAUUAAAUUAAUUUUUUACUUAUUUAAAAUAACUUCGACCAUUGUAAAAUCGAUAUCCUUUUCCUCGUAUAAAAUCUAUAUCCAUUUACUCAUGUUUUUUUCGGUUGCUAUAGUAAGUCUCAGUGUCAUAACCUAACAAACCAAACCGAUACUUGUUGAAAUCUCGUUGCGUAACGCCAGUAAUUCUGCUA
rnacentral:lncRNA from 1 species